UACGGAGGGUGCGAGCGUGUCCGGAUUUAUUGGGUUUAAAGGGUGCGUAGGCGGCCCGUUAGGUCCGGGGUGAAAGCCCGCUGCUCAACAGCGGAACUGCCCUGGAUACUGACGGGCUUGAGUACAGACGAGGUUGGCGGAAUGGACUGAGUAGCGGUGAAAUGCAUAGAUACAGUCCAGAACCCCGAUUGCGAAGGCAGCUGACUAGGCUGUUACUGACGCUGAGGCACGAAAGCGUGGGGAGCGAACAGG
rnacentral:rRNA from 1 species